rnacentral:rRNA from 1 species
CGCGUAGGCGGUUAUAUAAGUCGGGUGUGAAAGCCCCGGGCUCAACCUGGGAACUGCAUUCGAUACUGUAUAACUAGAGUUUGGUAGAGGGAAGUGGAAUUCCACAUGUAGCGGUGAAAUGCGUAGAUAUGUGGAGGAACACCAGUGGCGAAGGCGACUUCCUGGACCAAAACUGACGCUGAGGUGCGAAAGCGUGGGUAGCAAACA